rnacentral:rRNA from 1 species
AACGCGAAGAACCUUACCUGGGCUCGAAAUGUAGUGGACUGGGGUAGAAAUAUCCCUUCCUAGCAAUAGGUCGCUCUAUAGGUGCUGCAUGGCUGUCGUCAGCUCGUGUCGUGAGAUGUUGGGUUAAGUCCCGCAACGAGCGCAACCCUUAUUACCAGUUGCCAUCAUUCAGUUGGGCACUCCGGUGAGACCGCCUCGGAUAACGGGGAGGAAGGCGGGGAUGACGUCAAGUCCUCAUGGCCUUUAUGUCCAGGGCUACACACGUGCUACAAUGGCCGGUACAAACCGUCGCAAACCCGCGAGGGGGAGCUAAUCGGAAAAAGCCGGCCUCAGUUCGGAUCGCAGUCUGCAACUCGACUGCGUGAAGCUGGAAUCGCUAGUAAUCGCGGAUCAGAAUGCCGCGGUGAAUACGUUCCCGGGCCUUGUACACACCGAUAGC